GGGGCGCUCCUUAGACAACAUGGCGGGAGGGAGAAAGCGUCUCAGGGGUGAGGCACUCCAGCGCUUUGCUGGGCGGACACAUGAAGCUUCCUUUCUCCCGCAGCUCUGUAGAAAAAGGCUCAACCGAUCCCAACCAUUCGAAGGAAUCCGUUGGAUGAGUGGGAGGCCUUGCGUUUAUUAGACUCCCUCCAGUGUAGUCGGAACAAGUGUUCGUUUUACUUUCUUCAGUAUUUGAGAUGAGAUAAUCUCCUUCCUGACUUAAAUUUUGUGCGUGCGUGCGAGAGAAACAUCUGAAUCGAGAGGGACUUAAUGAGAAAAGCUUGGUCCCCUCCUUACCAACUGUAGCACCUUGAAGCCCUGCAAGUUUUCCAACAUACAAGGAGGAGAUCAAAUCCACUUGCCUUUGAGAACUAGACCUCAGGGAGGAGGCUUCCGGCUCAGCACCAGAACGAGUCUUCUAAGUUCUGUCUCUGAAGUUUGUGAUGUCUUCAGUAACAAAGCUUACCCUCCAGUGUUUGGAGAUUAAAGAUGAAAACCAGCUGUUGAUUGUGAGAAAAUGCAUCCAGGUUCAUAAAUCCGGACUCCAAGUGUAGUGACCAAAGUGGAGGUGCUGUGGAGUGUAAUCAUCAGAAGACCAGAUGGGCCUCUUAUAUUCUCAUCUGCAUGAAACCCCCCCCCCCUUACUUCUAGCCUUACCACAUUGAGGAUUUUAUAUAGUCAUUCAUUUGUUUAGACAGGCUCUCACAAUACAGCCUAGGUUGUCCAAAGCUCACUAUAUAUCCCAGCUAACAGUGAACUACUCACACUACCCCUGCCUCAGCCUUCUGGGUGCUAGGAUUAGAGCCAUUAAGCCACAACCCAUGACAACUUCAAAUAAUUUUUCCAAAUCCAUUUCCUCAUCUCUGAGGUGAGGGGCUGAUGCUAAAGCAUAAAUCAUAAGGUGAGUUUAGAAAAGGAGAUGGCGAGACCCAUAGCAAAUGCUAUCAAAAGGUGGACAGCAUCCACCAUGGGAGUUUGGGAGUAAACUGAUUUCAUGGGUCACAGAUGAUGAAGAGGAUAAUGGAGAAUUUUUGUUGUGGGAGGAAGUCAUGUGGUUACAUGUGGAAGCCAUGAACAGGUGUACAGGGUACCAAUACAAAAUAUUUCCUGUUGUGGAUCAUGAUCAAUAAAGUUAGGUCAGCAUUAUGGUCUAUUACUUUUGCCCACU